UUGUUUUGCUUAAAUAGAUGCUUUGAAUAUGAAUACAUUUCCCUCAAGCGUUCCGAAACGACUGCCUGAGUUAAAUAAGCCUUGCUGCUAGAAACUUAACUUCGAGCUUCUCUCACAGAUUUAAACUUGCUUAGGCCGGUACAAUUACUUUGAACAAAUUCGAGUGCUUAAUAAUGAAAUAAGACAACUCUUCUACGUUCAUUGGUUUUUAGAUCAAGAGGUAAUGAUUAUUAGAAGCAGUUUGGGGGCAUUAGUAUUACGACGCGAUUGGUGAAAUUCUUGGACCGAAGCAUUUAACAAAGAUCUUUUCAUUGAUCAAGAACAAAAGUUAACAGGUUCGAAGGCGAUCAUACACCGCUCUAGUUCUACCCAUGAACGAUGCCAGGUAGCAAUUGGGUGUAGCUACUAUUAUGGCUCUUUCAGUCGCUUCCCGGGAAAUCAAAGUUGUUGGGCUCCG
rnacentral:ncRNA from 1 species